rnacentral:tRNA from 2 species
GCCCCCAUCGUCUAGCGGCCUAGGACAUCGCCCUCUCACGGCGGUAACACCGGUUCAAAUCCGGUUGGGGGUAC